AAUUGAAGCAGAGGACAGUGGCGGACGGGUGAGUAACGCGUGAGGAACCUGCCUUUCAGAGGGGGACAACAGUUGGAAACGACUGCUAAUACCGCAUGACACAUAGGUGUCGCAUGGCACUUAUGUCAAAGAUUUAUCGCUGAAAGAUGGCCUCGCGUCUGAUUAGCUAGUUGGUGAGGUAACGGCCCACCAAGGCGACGAUCAGUAGCCGGACUGAGAGGUUGAACGGCCACAUUGGGACUGAGAUACGGCCCAGACUCC
rnacentral:rRNA from 1 species